GACAGUUUUUCGAUACUCGCACGGAUUCUACCUUUUCCCGAUACUCACCCGGAUUCUACCUUUUUUCGGUAGUCACACUAAUUUGACCUUUUUCCGGUAUUAGUCGGGACACUUUUUCGGUACUCACACUGAUUCGACCCUUUUCCGGAACUCCUCGGUACAGUUUUUCGAUACUUGCACGGAUUCUACUAUUUCCCGGUACUCGCCCGGAUUCUUCCAUUUUUCGGUACUCACACUGAUUCAACC
rnacentral:lncRNA from 1 species